rnacentral:rRNA from 1 species
UGUGCCAGCAGCCGCGGUAAUACGUAGGGCGCAAGCGUUGUCCGGAAUUAUUGGGCGUAAAGAGCUCGUAGGCGGCUUGUCGCGUCGGUUGUGAAAGCCCGGGGCUUAACCCCGGGUCUGCAGUCGAUACGGGCAGGCUAGAGUUCGGUAGGGGAGAUCGGAAUUCCUGGUGUAGCGGUGAAAUGCGCAGAUAUCAGGAGGAACACCGGUGGCGAAGGCGGAUCUCUGGGCCGAUACUGACGCUGAGGAGCGAAAGCGUGGGGAGCGAACAGGAUUAGAUA